rfam:Loxodonta africana unplaced genomic scaffold scaffold_50, whole genome shotgun sequence.
UGGCACAGUGGUUAAGCGCUUGGCUGCUAACCAAAAGGUUGGUGGUUUGAAUCCACC